AUCAAAGGUACUUGGGAGUUUUAGAAGUAGGUCUAAUUAGUAGCAUUUAUUACUGGACAAGUAUCAGAACUAAACAUACUGGCAGUGAAAGCAUUUUCUGUCUUUCAAGCAUAAUAAAUUUUAGGCCAAUUGGUAGAAUAAAUCCAAACCUUUACGUGUAUUGCUCACUUUAUCUUAAACUUUUAAUUUUGGACAAUUUAAUCAUAACUUUUAAAAUUGAAAAAAAUUAUCCAAAGGGGAUUUCGACUUUUGCCAUUUGGAUAGCCAAGUAGACUUGCCUUGUAACAUUUUUUUAAUAAAUUAAUUUAUCUCAUCAUUUAAUUAAAUUGGCUAAAAAGAUCUAAACCUUUACGCUUGUUGCUCAUUUUAUUCAAACUUUUUAAUUUUGGACAAUUAAACCAAAUUGAAUAAAAUUUAUCCAUCACUCAAAUUUUAUCCCCAAAUUUUAAUAAGUAAAUUAUAAUUUAGUCUCUGAGG
rnacentral:misc_RNA from 1 species